GCAGCUUUCUCGUGCGUUGACAUCCUGGAAGCUCUGUGGUCUGUAGUAAAGUCAGUGUCCUCAUUUACCUGCAGAGGCAUAGAAGGCUCUGAGACCCUGACGUCCUGAACUACUUGGCAGGAUCCCAAAGCACAGCAAGUGCUAGUUUAAAAACACAAAGUUUCUCUGUCGGCUCAAAACAACCUUGGGGAACGGCACAGGGACGACUCUCAGAAGAAAACACCGUUGAGGAAGAAUGAUUCAGGUCAGUAAGGAAAUGUCAUGACAACGGAAAUGAAAAUCAGCGAGCUUCGCUUCUGCCUGUGCCAGCAACUCUGGGGAAAUCUUUCUGGUUGCUUUUUGUUGCCAUUCGACUGGAUAAUGGGGCUGCAAAUUGUAUCCAACCGAAAGAGAAUUGGCUCACCCACAGCAAGUAAUGCAGACACAGACAAACCCUGGGAGGACAGAGGAGCCGACAAGACCCAAGCAGAACCUGUGUAUGCAUGCAAACCUGUACACAUUAACUUCCUCUCCCUCUCUGCCCGGAUAAUGCUUGGAACUCAUUUUAAAGCAGUCAGAAUAAAAAAUUCCUGUUAACUCCCCAUUACU